CCCGGAAACCUGAGUUCAGGCUCCGGGGGAAGUAGGUUGCAAAGCUGGAACUUAAAGGAAUUGACGGAGGGCACUACCAGGAGUGGAGCCUACGGCUUAAUUUGACUCAACAACGGGACAACUCACCCGGUCCGGACAUGUGCUCGAUGGACAGAUUGACAGCUCUUUCUAGAUUCGUGGAUAUGGUGCAUGGCCGCAGUUGGUUCGUGGGGUGACUCUGUCUGGUUAAUUCCGAUAAACGAACGAGAUUCUCGCCUAUUAAAUAGGUGCCCUCAUCCUAUCGCGAUGGAGGGGAACUUCUUAGAGGGACCGGCGGCUUCGAAGCCGUACGAGAGAGAGCGAUUGCAGGUCUGUGAUGCCCUUAGAUGUCCGGGGCCGCACGUGCGCUACAGUAGAGGGGACAACGUGCGAAGGUGCCUCGGCCGUCGGGCCGGGUAACCCGAGCAGUCUCUUCUCAGUGCUGGGGACAGGGGAUUGUAAUUAUUCCCUCGAACGAGGAAUUCCCAGUAGGCGCGAGUCACUAACUCGUGCCGACUAAGUCACUGCCCUUUGUACACACCCCGUCGCUAUCUCCGAUUGAGCGGUGGAGUGAGGUCUUCGGACCAGCGCUCGGGCGACCCUCCGGGGUCGAGUCGACGUGCCGGAAGAUGACCGAACUUGGCCGCUUAGAGGAGGUAAAAGUCGUAACAAGGUUUCCGUAGGUGAACUGUGGAAGGAUCAUU